rnacentral:rRNA from 1 species
CCUACGGGAGGCAGCAGUGAGGAAUAUUGGUCAAUGGGCGGAAGCCUGAACCAGCCAAGUCGCGUGAGGGAUUAAGGCCCUGCGGGUCGUAAACCUCUUUUGCCGGGGAGCAGAGGUCCGGACGUGUCCAGGCCGGGACAGUACCCGGAGAACCAGCAUCGGCGAACUACGUAACAGCGGCCGCGGUAAUACGGAGGAUGCGAGGUUUAUCCGGAUUUAUUGGGUUUAAAGGGUGCGUAGGCGGGCCUUUAAGCCGGCGGUAAAAUGUCGGGGCUCAACCCCGGCCUGCCGUCGAAACUGGGUACCUUGAGUGGGCGAGAAGUAUGCGGAAUGCGUGGUGUAGCGGUGAAAUGCAUAGAUAUCACGCAGAACCCCGAUUGCGAAGGCAGCAUACCGGCGCCCUUCUGACGCUGAGGCACGAAAGUGCGGGUAUCGAACAGGAUUAGAUACUCCAGUAGUC